GGGCACAUGGUGUAGUUGGUUAUCACGCCCGCUUAGCAUGUCAACUUGCUUGCGGGCGGUCCCCGGUUCAAUUCCGGGUGUGUCCA